rnacentral:rRNA from 1 species
CCUACGGGUGGCAGCAGUGAGGAAUAUUGGUCAAUGGCCGGAAGGCUGAACCAGCCAUGCCGCGUGAAGGUCAGUGCCCUAUGGGCGUUAAACUUCUUUUGUGCGGGAGCAAUAAUGGUCACGUGUGGCCAGACGAGAGUACCGUACGAAUAAGCAUCGGCCAACUCCGUGCCAGCAGACGCGGUAAUACGGGGGAUGCAAGCGUUAUCCGGAUUAAUUGGGUUUAAAGGGUGCGUAGGCUGGGAGGUAAGUCAGCGUUGAAAUGCCCCCGCUCAACGGGGUGAAGUGCCAUUGAUACUGCCUUGCUGGAAUGCGGAUGCCGUGGGAGGAAGGUGUGGUGUAGCGGUGAAAUGCAUAGAGAUCACACAGAACACCGAUUGCGAAGGCAUCUCACGAAUCCGCGAUUGACGCUGAUGCACGAAAGCGUGGGUAUCAAACAGGAUUAGAUACCCCUGUAGUC